AAUAAAAUUAUUUAUGGUUUAAAAAUUUAUUAUAAAUUUAUUUUACAUAUAAAUUUUAGUGUUAAUUUUUAAUUUAUUUAAAUAAUAAUUAAUAUUUAUUUGUAGUAAUUAGAAUUAAAAAUUUAAGUAAUUAAGAUUUAGUAAUAUUUAAAUUAAUAACAAAUUUUGUGCCAGCAGUUGCGGUUAUACAAAAAUUAAAUUAAAUUUUUUUAGGGAUUAAUUAAUAAUAGAUUAUAUAAUAAAAUUAAAAUUUAAAUUAUUAAGUGAAAUUUUAAUUUAUGAAAAUUUUAUAUUGAGUUAUGAAUUAAAAAAUUUUAUUAAAAACUAGGAUUAGAUACCCUAUUAUUAAAAAUUUAAAUUAAUAAUACUAAAAUAGUAUAUAAUUAUUUAUAAAAACUUAAAUAAUUUGGCGGUAUUUUAGUUUAUUUAGAGGAAUCUGUUUAUUAAUUGAUAUUCCACGAAUAAAUUUACUUAAUUUAUUUAAUUUUGUAUAUCGUUGUUAAAAAAAUAUUUUAAAAUAAUAAUAAUAUUUUAAUUUUUAUAUUAAAAGUUAAAUCAGAUCAAGAUGCAGAUUAUAAUUAAGAAUAUAAUGGAUUACAAUAAAUUUAUUUAAUUGGAUGUUAUUUUUAAAAAUUAAUUGAAAUUGGAUUUAAAUGUAAUUUUAUUUAAUUUAUUAAAAUGAUUUUAAUUUAAAAUAUGUACAUAUUGCCCGUCGCUUUCAUUAAUAAAUUGAAAUAAGUCGUAACAAAGUAGAGGUACUGGAAAGUGUUUCUAGAAAGAGUA
rnacentral:ncRNA from 1 species